GCCAGGUGCAGUGGCACAUACCUGUAGUCCCAGCUACUUGGGAGGUUGAGUGGAGAGGAUUGGUUGAGCCCAGGAGUUCUGAGUUGUACUGUGCUAUGCUGAUAGAGUUUCCGCACUAAGGUUGGCGUCAAUAUGGUGACCCCCCAGGGGCAGAGGACCACUGGGUUGCCUAAGGAGGGGUGAACCAGCUCAAGCCGGAAAUGGAGCAGGUCAUAGCUCCCAUACUGAUCACCAGUGGGAUCACACCUGUGAAUAACCAGGCAACAGGCUGGAAAACAUAGCCAGACCCUGUCUCU
rnacentral:SRP_RNA from 1 species